AAUCUGCGGAGCGCGCUCAGGCGUUUAACGGGGACACCUCGUGGGGGUCCUUUCUCAUCGCCCUCGUGCUCCGGCGCCGUCCCUUCUGCUCCGGGCGGAGGCUGCGCGGCGUCCUUGUCUGCCCGUUAAUGAUUCUCUGCCGUUUCAUGGCAAAAAUGGCAACCAGUGAUGCUGUUUUGAAGAGAUUGGAACAGAAGGGUGCAGAGGCAGAUCACAUUAUUGAAUAUCUUAAGCAGCAAGUUGCUCUUCUUAAGGAGAAAGCAGUUUUGCAGGCAACUUUGAGAGAAGAGAAGAAACUUCGAGUGGAAAAUGCUAAAUUGAAAAAAGAGGUUGAAGAAUUGAAACAAGAGCUAAUUCAGGCAGAAAUUCGAAAUGGAGUGAAACAGAUACCGUGCCCAUCUGGUCCUUCAUUGCGAGCUGAGUCUCCAGUUUCUGAAAAUGUGGUACAGUCUAUGCCAAUCACAACCAUGUCUUCUGGAGCCAAAGAACAGAUAAAAGGAGGAGGAGGAGAAGAAAAGAAGGUGAAAGAGAAAAUGGAAAAGAAAGGAGAGAAAAAGGAGAAAAAACAGCAAUCAGUAACAGGAAGUGCUGACUCUAAACCAAUAGAUGUUUCCCGUCUGGAUCUUCGAAUUGGUUGUAUCAUCACUGCCAAAAAACACCCUGAUGCAGAUUCUUUGUAUGUAGAAGAAGUAGAUGUUGGAGAAACAGCCCCAAGAACAGUUGUCAGUGGCCUGGUGAAUCAUGUUCCGCUUGAACAGCUGCAAAAUCGGAUGGUGAUUUUACUUUGUAACCUGAAACCUGCAAGGAUGAGGGGAGUACUAUCUCAGGCAAUGGUGAUGUGUGCUAGUUCUCCAGAGAAGGUUGAAAUCUUGGCACCUCCUGAUGGGUCUGUUCCUGGAGACAGAAUUACUUUUGAUGCUUUUCCUGGAGAGCCUGACAAGGAGCUGAAUCCUAAGAAGAAGAUUUGGGAGCAGAUCCAGCCUGAUCUUUACACUAAUGAUGAGUGUGUGGCUACAUACAAAGGAGCUCCCUUUGAGGUGAAAGGGAAGGGAGUGUGCAGGGCUCAGACUAUGAGCAACAGUGGAAUAAGAUAAAACGCUUCAGUUACUGAAGUACACUGGAGAAAACUAACAACAAUAAAGAGAAAUAGAUAUUGUGGGAACAAUGAAAAUUAACUUAGGAACUAUGAGCUUCAAGUUCACCACCUUUGAGAUGUUGACUGAUGAUCUGGGCUCCCAAAAAAGAAAUGCAUCAGUGGAGAGGUUCUUAGGAAGAAUCACUUGGCAAAACCAGGCUGCUACUGGCAGCAGUUGCCUUCUGAAGACCAUGAGCCUUGACUCUUGCAGGCGUGCGCUGUUGUUGAGGGCACUCGUCCUGCCGCGACAGUUGGUACCAAAGCCAACCUAUGAGGGAAGCCACUGUGCUGCAGUGCCAAACAGUUUUCCAAAGUGGUUACACCAGUGACACUCACCAGCAGCCUACGGGAAUUCGACAGUCCACAGCCUCGCUGACAGAGACACCUUUGAAAACAGGUUUCUGACUCUAAAAGCCAAUGCUCUUUUCCUUUCAUCUAAACUUUAUUUAAAGAAUGGCAGUGUAAUUCUUCCAAGCAUGUCCCAAAAGUUCCUGAAGGAGAGAAGAAGUUCAAUGGCUAUUUGCCUUGGAGUAUAUUCCUCAAAAAUGACCAAAGGAGUUAUCGCCCAACAUAGGACCAUCAACAGAUCUGUAUGUCAUUAUGUUUCUAAAAGCUGUUACAUGUAAUGGGAAGUGAAGGUGGGAUCAAAUAAUGUAAGCAAAUGGAGAGAGCUGGGGGAACUUUCUAAAAAAAGGCUUUAGUUGUCCAUUUUAUUUUGCUGUUGUAAUUCAUGUAUAUACAACCUCAAAACUACAUAUUAUCAAUGCUGCAUAUUGAUACUGAUAUAAUUACAUUUACAACGUUUGGCAGUCAUUUAUAUUUGCCUGUCGGCCUGAAUCUGUUGGAACCACUGAAUUCCUUUAAGACGGAGGACCUUGGCCAAGGGAAUUGUCAUAUCAUUUUUGUAGGAGUGUUGUGUUAUCAUCAUUAUCAAAAGCAUUUUCUAAGGAUUUAUAAUUACAUAAUCUGGUUACAAUCUAUUGAUUACUCAGAUGGCAUGUAAUGGAAAAGCUUAGAUCAAAAUACAUUUGGUGAUUUGGAACAACUACAAAAUAGUACUGUGAUUUGCAUCCUCUUCACCUCACAUGCCUAGAAUCAAACCCAGUUUAUUGGAUGACUUCCUCUAAUGUGGUUGAGAAACACUGAAGGCACCUCAGAACUGACUUUAUUUAGAAAUAAGGUCAUUGCAGUUGUAAUUAGUUAAGAUAAGGUCAUAGGGUGGGCCUUUAAUCCAAUAUGACUGGUGUCCUUAUAAAACAGCGAAAUUUGGACAAAGACAUGAAUACAGGGAGAAUGCCAUGUGAACAUAAAGACGGCCGUCCACAAGCCAAGGAGAGAAUCCUUGGACAGAUCCUUCACUCAUAGCCCUCAGAAGGAACCAACCCUGCUAACGUUAUUUCAGACUUCUAGCCUCCAGAACUGAGAGACAAUAAAUUUCUGUUGCGUAAGCCACCCAGUUAGUGGUACUUUGUUUCGGCAGCCCUAUCAAAUUAAUAAAAAUGGUAGAAAAAGUUAAUAAAGUGUUAAAUAUAUCAGACUAGGUCGUGGAAAUAAAAAGAUUCCUGGGGGGCCUGGCCUGGUGGCAUGGUGGUUAUGUUGGCAGGCUCUAUUUCUGCCGCCCAGUAUUUGCCGGUUUGGAUCCUGGGUGCGGAUCUAGCACUGCUUAUCAAGCCACACUGUGGCAGGUGUCCCACAUAUAAAGUAGAGGAAGAUAGCACAGAUGUUAGCUCAAGGCCAGUCUUCCUCAGCGAAAAAAGAGGAUUGGUGGUAGAUGUUAGCUCAGGGCUAAUCCUCCUCCUCCUGAAAAAAAAACAUUGCUGGGCCAUUUACAGCAGAAUCACUUGGGAUGCUUGGUAAAAAUGCAUCAGAAUCUUUAGGGAUGAAGCCUGGGAAUUAGAAUUUUAAAAACCACUCUAGGUGGUUAUUACUGCUGCAAAUGUUUAUUGAAGGUCUACUUUGUUCCAGGGACAGAGUGGACAAGACAGGUACAUUUCCUGUUUAUGUCUAGUGGAGAUUCCUGUGUCCUAACUAAACUUAGAGACGGGGAAGAGGGAGGGCCAGACAGGAAAGCAUCCUUUCAAUUUGUUGUAAUUGCUCGUGUGGUGAUAGAAAAUAUAUUGGAGCUACAGAGGCUGACAUUUAGCCUGGUUUUGGGUGGGGGUAAAGGGUGGGGUCAGGAAAAGUUUCUGGCAUGUGAUGACGUCUUGAGCAUAGGUAUUGACACGGGAAUUGUAGGGCAGUAAAGACCUACCAAGUAAAGAGAGUGAUUGAGCAUUAUUGGGGACUGGGUAGUCUUGGGGUUUUAGUCUAUACAAAUACAACUAUUGAUCCCUCAUCACGCGUCUCUGGAAACUUCUCAAGUUUAGAGCCGGACCUAUUAUUCACCCAGUACAUUAUUGAAGUGUUCAUAUUGAUUGUCAUAAUGAAAUGUUUAAUACAAGUUAUUAAAUAGCUACCACCCUUAACCUCUUGAGUACGACUCCCAGACCUGGCCUGUGGGUAUUGGUUGAUGCAUAAGCCAUAUUUGUCAGUAAAUAUUUUUAAAACAUCACCAUAACAAAAAUUCAUGCUAAAUAAACUGUUUGGCUCAA